rnacentral:RNase_P_RNA from 1 species
GAAGUAGGCGAAAUGGUCGCCCUCCGAAGUUUUCGAAGAACAUAGGAGGGAGGAAAGUCCGGGCUCCCGCGGGAAGGAUGGCCGCUAAUUACGGCUCCCUGCGAAGGGAAGGAAAGUGCCACAGAAAAGAUACCACCCCAAAAACAAAAAGGGGACACAUCCCAUUUUUUUAUUUUUUGUGUGGAUAGACAAAAAAUGGGAUGUGUCCCUAAUUUUGGGGUAAGGGUGAAAUGGUGAGGUAAGGGCUCACCGCUUUUUCAGGUAACUGAAAAGGCUAUGUAAACCCCAUCCGGAGCAAGGCCAAGAAGAGAGAUUGACCCGCAACUAUAUCUCUCGGGUAGGCUGCUUGAGGUGCCCAGCAAUGGGCAUCCCAGAGAAAUGACCGUCCCUGUCCGCCGAAGCUUUUAGCGUAGGCGGAUAAACAGAACCCGGCUUAUCGCCUACUUUAGGA